rnacentral:rRNA from 1 species
GAUUCUGCCAUUUGGUCCAUCUUUUAGAUGAGUACUUCGUGUGUAGGGUCUAUUCGCCUGGUAAUACGUAAUGUCCUUUAUUGGAUGUUGCGGGUAGUCAGGACUUUUACCUUGAAAAAAUUAGAGUGUUUAAAGCAGGCUUAUGCCGGAAUACAUUAGCAUGGAAUAAUAGAAUAGGACGAAGUUGUUUUAUUUUGUUGGUUUCUAGGACAACCGUA